GGUUAAGCGACUAAGCGUACACGGUGGAUGCCCUGGCAGUCAGAGGCGAUGAAGGACGUGCUAAUCUGCGAUAAGCGUCGGUAAGGUGAUAUGAACCGUUAUAACCGGCGAUUUCCGAAUGGGGAAACCCAGUGUGUUUCGACACACUAUCAUUAACUGAAUCCAUAGGUUAAUGAGGCGAACCGGGGGAACUGAAACAUCUAAGUACCCCGAGGAAAAGAAAUCAACCGAGAUUCCCCCAGUAGCGGCGAGCGAACGGGGAGCAGCCCAGAGCCUGAAUCAGUGUGUGUGUUAGUGGAAGCGUCUGGAAAGGCGCGCGAUACAGGGUGA
rnacentral:rRNA from 1 species